AGUCCAUGAUGAGGGUACUGUCUGAGCAUACUCUUGAAGUUGUCCUAUGCUUCAAAUAAUAAUUCUAAGUCUAUCUGUCUGAAGCAUUCUAUUAGAUUCCUUAUGUGAGU